AUUGAACGCUGGCGGCAGGCCUAACACAUGCAAGUCGAGCGGAGCGGCUGACGGGUGAGUAAUGCCUAGGAAUCUGCCUGGUAGUGGGGGAUAACGUCCGGAAACGGGCGCUAAUACCGCAUACUAUCAGAUUAGCCUAGGUCGGAUUAGCCGGUUGGUGGGGUAAAGGCCUACAAAGGCGACGAUCCGUAACAGGUCUGAGAGGAUGAUCAGUCACACUGGAACGGAGACACGGUCAAGACUCCUACGGGAGGAGGAAGUGGGGAAUAUUGGACAAUGGGCGAAGUCCGGAUCCAGCCAUGCCGGGGGGGUGAAGAAGGUCGUCGGAUUGUAAAGCACUUUAAGUUGGGAGGCGUUACCAACAGAGUAAGCACCGGCUAACUUCGUGCCAGCAGCCGCGGUAAUAC
rnacentral:rRNA from 1 species